rnacentral:tRNA from 1 species
GGAGGGAUAGCGAAGUGGCCAAACGCGGUUGACUGUAACUCAAUUCCUUUCGGUUCGGGGGUUCGAAUCCCUCUCCCUCCACCA